rnacentral:rRNA from 1 species
UACGGGGGGAGCAAGCGUUGUUCGGAUUUACUGGGCGUAAAGGGCGCGUAGGCGGCGUGACAAGUCACUUGUGAAAUCUCCGGGCUUAACCCGGAGCGGCCAAGUGAUACUGUCGUGCUAGAGUGCGGAAGGGGCUACUGGAAUUCUCGGUGUAGCGGUGAAAUGCGUAGAUAUCGAGAGGAACACCUGCGGCGAAGGCGGGUUGCUGGGCUGAUACUGACGCUGAGGCGCGAAAGCGUGGGGAGCAAACAGG